UACGAAGGGGGCUAGCGUUGCUCGGAAUCACUGGGCGUAAAGGGUGCGUAGGCGGGUCUUUAAGUCAGGGGGGAAAUCCUGGAGCUCAACUCCAGAACUGCCUUUGAUACUGAAGAUCUUGAGUUCGGGAGAGGUGAGUGGAACUGCGAGUGUAGAGGUGAAAUUCGUAGAUAUUCGCAAGAACACCAGUGGCGAAGGCGGCUCACUGGCCCGAUACUGACGCUCAUGCACGAAAGCGUGGGGAGCAAACAGG
rnacentral:rRNA from 1 species